UUAACAAAUGUAAGACAAAGGUAUUUAUAUGGAUUCCAGAUAAUGUAACUUUAUUAAAGACAGAUAAGGCCACAUAGGUAACAGAAACUGCAUGUAUAGGACAUUAGAUUUAUUUUGUUAACCAGUUAAAGUGUACAAUAUUCCUGACUUUAACAUCAAAUUGACUGUUUUAUUAAAAGAUUAACCUGAACUGGUUUCUCUUCCGCCCCCUGCAGGCAGCUAUCAGAACUACAACCCAUUUAAGUCUAAUCAGAUAAAGGGUUUUCCUCAGAAAACUAUAUUUAAUUCAAUAUGAACAGAUCAUGUUGAGCAUAACAUCUCAAAAUACAAAGAUAAAAAACAAGCAUUCACUGAUGACCUUCCCUCAUAUGAAAAGUGGAAAAGGUGACUUGCUACUUAACUGAUUCCAUUGUCUGUUCUCACCACUAUCAUGUGUCCACAUGUCAUGACAGCCUUCCAAGACAUUAGUAUGCUAAUCAUACACCAUAUUUACAGAAUAACACGUUUUCAGUAUUAUUUCACGCAAAUAAGUUAAAUGUGAAAUACAAAAUCAAUUCUCUGGUAUGUAUUAUAAAGCUGGAUACACAAUUUAAAUAUCACAUUUUCAAAAAGGGAUUUGAAAGGUGUCGAUAUGUCCUGAACUCUUAUUAUACAGAAUGUCUAUUGAUGUACACCCCCUGUGUUCCUUCAGCCUGACAGAGUUAUUACAUAACCAAACACUUUCUUCGCUCAAUGCAAAUACAAACAAGUUAUUUGUGACACGGUGUGAUGGUGAAGAACAUCUAUACACACACCUUCACACCUCUCAACAAACCUCUCCUUGGCAUACUGUAUAACUUCAAACAAGCCAUUAUUUCAAUCAAUAAUCAUAGUGCAAAUAUUCUCAAAUUCCUAUUGUUUAUACCCCAGUAUUGUCAUGUUUAAUGUGGACCCCAGUAUUGUCAUGUUUGAUGAUUUGAUGAUGACCCCAAUAUUGUCAUGUUUGAUGUGGACCCCAGUAUUGUCAUGUUUGAUGAUUUGAUGUGGACCCCAGUAUUGUGGUUUGAUGUGGACCCCAGUAUUGUGGUUUGAUGUGGACCCCAGUAUUGUGGUUUGAUGUGGACCCCAAUAUUGUGGUUUGAUGUGGACCCCAGUAUUGUCCUGUUUGAUGUGGACCCCAGUAUUGUCAUGUUUGAUGUGGACCCCAGUAUUGUCAUGUUUGAUGUGGACCCCAGUAUUGUCAUGUUUGAUUAUUUGAUGUGGCCCCUGGAAGAGUUGCUGCUCUUUUUUGUGUUGGAGAUGGGGUUCCAAACAACAUUCAAACAUGUUAAUGCACUGCGUUGUACAGAAGAAGGUGCCUCCACAAACCUAUGACAAGUCUGACUGAGGAAAAAUAUGACUGAGACACCCGUCUCAUGACAUCAUUUUCUUUUUUCAGAAGCUGGGAGAACCUCAGAGGGAAUAAAUCCUGAAAAACCACCAGAACUAAGUGUAGGCCUUCCUUCCACGGUGUUCUGUAACAAGAACAACUGUGGAACCUCUGAACUAGAUAAUAUAGACAGAAACAUAUUUAUACUGAUCCAAUAACCACCUGUGACAGCCAGGCCCCCACAGGGGAUAUACUGAUGGGUUCACAAUUUCCCACGGACAGUGUCACAGCAUGAGACAACAGAACCAUUAACAGGUUCUGAUCAACAUGGAAAACAUUUCAACUGAACUAAUGCCGCCAUGCUGUAAUGGAGAAGAUGUAGUAAUGUCAUCAUAUUAAUUGGCUUUUCAUGUCUUUGUGGACAGGCAAAGUGAGACAGGGACGUUUUGUAUAACUUACAGUACUUAAAUUAAAGGACAAGGUGAUGAAAUUCAAACUUUGCAAAAUGGAACUGAGGUAAAGUUAGUAAAGAUUCAUCUGUAAUAAGACAGACACGUCGUAGAGAAAUGUGAUGAGGGACGAAGUACUGAUGACUGCAUGGCCCCCUAAAGACAAAGCGCAGAACCAUAUUGGCACUGUAAAUUAACAUAGUUUUAUGAAAUUGUAAGGAAGGCUAUUUAAAUGUUGGUCAUUUCUCAAAUCCCAAAUUGCUACAUGAACAAAAAUUUACAUCACUGGUCCCUGAAAUAAAAUAGACCAUUUUUUCCACAACACUAGUCAAUGAUCCAUCUGUUGGUCACCAUAUAAACAUGAUCUAGAAUGGCAGCGACCUACUGUGGAAUCAUUUGAUAUAUAAUCACCAUCAUAUACCUUAUGAUCAUAUACCUACAUCCACAGACCAAGCUGGUGCAAAACUACUGAGUGAGCAAUAUUCCCAGGCCCAUCUCUACCUCCCCUUUAACAACCCCAG
ensembl:lncRNA